rnacentral:misc_RNA from 1 species
UCCGGUUUAGACCGGCGGUCUCCCUGGAGAUUUCAACUAAGGACAAGGGUUGCGCUCGUUGCGGGACUUAACCCAACACCUCACGGCACGAGCUGACGACAGCCAUGCAGCACCUGUGCACGGACUCCGAAGAGGAACCGAUGUUUCCACCGGCUUUCCCGCGCAUGUCAAGCCCAGGUAAGGUUCUUCGCGUUGCUUCGAAUUAAACCACAUGCUCCUCCGCUUGUGCGGGCCCCCGUCAAUUCCUUUGAGUUUCAGUCUUGCGACCGUACUCCCCAGGUGGAUUACUUAAUGCUUUCGCUCAGACGCGUACAGUGUAUCGCACACAUCGAGUAAUCAUCGUUUAGGGCAUGGACUAC